CGUCGUUUCAGGAAUGAGAGAGAGUGAAUGAGUUCAGGGAACCCUAUCCGCACUCAGUCUUCAGUCACUCACCAUCACGCCCUCUUUUCGGUCUUCGCUUAUUUCACUGCGACAUCGCCUGCACCUCCGCCUGCCGGCCCCUUUGUCUCCACUUCAACUCUUAAUCCUCGCCAUCUUCGACUGUAAGUUCGUCUUCAGCUCUUCAUCGUCGACUUCGUCUUCGCCUUUCCUUUUUCGGCCUUUGCUCUCAAGCUCGGGAAUGAGGCACAAAGAGAGGUUAGGUCAUCCGGGCUUUGAAAAAGGAGUAAAAUUCAGAAUCCUCCCUACUACACCAUGUGCCGCAGUGCACAAUGUGAAACAGGAGCUUCCCAUUCUGUACACACGCCAUAGCACAUGGUGGGAUUUUAGAAUAAGUCGAGUUGCACCAGUUCAAAAAAUAAGGAAGGAAGGGAGAAGCCAAGAAGCACGCACCAAGCUCUGCUAGGGCUUGAGGUUUUGGAUCAUUGAGGACAUUUUGAAACUUCUAAAUAUUAAGGCUUGUGCAAGAAUUGGUGCGCUAGAGGUUGGAAUAUAAAUUCACAAUUAUAUCUUAAAUUGUGGUUUCUUUAUCACCAAAGCAAUUGGAAAUGCUCUAGUGGAUAUGUAUGCCAAAUGUGGAAACAUCGACGCUGCAAGUGAGGUGUCUACUAACAUGAAACAAAAGGACCUUCUAACCUGGAGUAUUAUGCUAUUGGGCUGGGCAAUCCAUGGCCAUCAUGGGCAAGUUCUGCAGGGCUCUGAACAAAUGAAGUCUGCAGGGCUGAGACAGACUCUGUUGUCUUGAUUGCCAUCCUAACUGCAUGCUCGCACACUGGGCAAGUUGAUGAAGGAUUACGCUUCUUCAGUUGUAUGAGAUAUGAGUAUGCCAUUGAGCCAACAAUGAAACAUUAUGCGUUAGUGAUAGAUCUCUUAGGCAGGUAGGCAGACUCAAUGAAGCAAUGGAGUUUGUCCAGAGCAUGCCAAUGGCUCCUGAUUUUGUCAUAUGAGGAGCAUUAUUCUGUGCUUGUGGAGCUCACAAAGAUAUCAAAAUGGCAGAAUUAGUCUCAGACAAGCUCUUGCAGCUUGAACAGAAGCACCCUGGAAGCUAUGUCUCUUUAUCAAAUGUUUAUGCCACAAUGGGGCGAAUGAUGUAGAUAGAGUAAGAAUUUUGAUGCAAAGCAGUGGAGUAGAAAAGGAUCCUGGAUGGAGUUAUAUUGAGAUAGAUGGGCAAGUGCGCAGUUUUGUUGUUGGGGAUCAAGAUCAUAAGCAUGCUAAAGAGAUAUAUGUGAAAUUAGAGGACAUAAUGGCAGGAGCUCGGAAAGAAGGUUACAUGCCUGAAACUGAUUGAGUGCUCCAUAAUAUUGGAGAGGAAGGGAAAGAAGAGUCUUUAGGAAGGCAUAGUGACAAAUUGGCUCUUGCUUUUGGGGCGAUUAAUAGGGGUGAAGAAUUUGAGAGUAUAUGGCGAUUGCCAUUUUAUAAUGAAAUAUGCUAGCAAAAUGAGCUAAAGGGAAAUUAUAUUGAGACUUAAAGAUUUCAUCAUUUUUGGGAUGGUUUUUGCUCAUGUGGAGAUUUCUGGUGACAUUUGAGGCAUUAUUGAUUAAAAAUAGUAUUUUUUUUCAUGUUUUGAAUUGAUUAGCUUCCCUUUAUCUGCCUCUGUAAGAAUAAUUGGAUGCAUUAUUUAUGGGAGGUAAGCAUUUGCAAA